UAUCUGUUUGCAGAUACUAGAUCAUUCGUGUCCUACGUGCUGUCCAGGAGAGAGCCUGAACAAAACCAGGAGAAAUUGUAAGGACACUUGGACUCAUGUUAAUGAAGGAGAUCAGAAAGCAUGCAAACACUUUGGAGGGACACUAAAAAAAAAACUGCGGAGUGCUCAUACCAAGUUUAAAUAGGCACAUUUUAAAAUGUUGAGCAAUGAUUAUCAAUGAUUAUCACAAAGGGCUCCAAAACUCUUCUAACAAAAGAGAAAGUGUAGAUUUUAAUACAUUAAAGGUAAUGUAUGAAAAAUAGGUUUACUUUGGCUCAUUGUAAGACUACAAAAAAAGUUGAAGAUCUGAUGUGAUAAAGGCACAUGAAAAGACUGGUUUGUGGUUUUGUGUUACUCACAAGAGACAAGUUCAGCAUUUGGCUUCAGGAAGUUUCUGAGGGCUCCAUGAGGUGCUCAGCAUUUACACAACUGUGUCUGCAAACCACUAUAAAACUGAAGCCUAACUGUGACAUUUGACUUGGAGGAGAAGCUCAGCUCUCAGUGACUUGCAGUGUUUUGGGGGGACAAAGAGGGCAACACAUUCCUGUGUCAAUACUAGUGGCAGAGGGCAUGUAGCCUGGGACUGUCAUGUCUAGUGGCAGCUGAGAACUGAUUUGGCCUCCACACUUGUUUGCUUUCCUUAACUUGUGUGCUUUUUUUUUUUGUUAUUCACUGAUUGUACUCCUUUUCGUCCAACUAGAAUUGCCUUGCGCCCUAGAAGUAUUCCGCUUCCAAAGAUUUCAUACCACAGGACUAUUUCUUCCCUAAAAUACUCUGAGCUAUUACAAAAAGAUUUACUUUCAUUACAGUAAUCUUUACCAGGCUAAUUGAUAUUUGGUUGAGAAGUCAUUCUGAAUUGCUACGCUCAUGGUGGUGUCAUACCUUCCUGGCUUAAUGGUACUUCCAGGAGAUGCCAGGACCUCUGAAAGAGGCUUAUAAUGUUCAGAACUAUCUCACAGCCCGUAGGACUAUGGUAAAAUGAGUUACUCUCAUCCUUUCCCAGUGAAUUUUGGGAGAACUUGCCUUUCCUUCAGGGCAAGCACAUAUAUUCUGGGAAAACUUCAGAGGACUUGGAGCGUUUCAAUAGUUUAGCUUCUAUCCACAUUAUUCUAAGCAAAUAAUGGUCUUUCACUCAAGUUAGUAAAAUCUUUAAUUUCAGUUUAGAACUCAAAACGAGACUGAUAGAUGAGCUAAUCUGUGGUGCUUUCAACAUAGGCUUUCUAGCUUGAAAGCACCAAGAUCUUAGGGUUACUUUGUUUUUCAGUGAAGAAGAGGUAAGCUGGGGGCUAUAUCUGAACAACAUAAUGGCAGGGCAGACUCAGCUGUAGUAUCCAGCUGUGAAUCUGACACUGAUCUUUUGGUAGUCAUACCUUGUUGGGCCUAAUUCUGAGAUCAAUGUUUACAUCCUGUGUGGGAACAUAUUCCAGUCAUCUGUUAUUACCCACACCGUAUUGUAUAUAAUCCCUUUCAUUAAUAUAUUGCAGGUUUGUGGUUUUUUUGUGGGUUUUGGGGGUUGGUUCCCCCCCCCCCCCCCCCCCAGUUUUUCAUUGAAAAUCCAUUUCAGAACUUGCUUGCUUUUAAAUAUAAGAAGCUUCUUCUAAUUCCUGGACUGAAUGUAUACUUUCCUUUUUUAUUAUUAUUUUUACAUUUUCUCUUGUGUCAACUUUAGAUUUCAGCUUAAUUGAUUUGAGUUAGAGGUGAGAACACUUUCAGAGUCAGGCUGGUGCUUUUGGAAGAACUUAUAAAUCUGUAAUUCCAGUGCUCUUCUAGUUUUCUUCAAGGAGAAAGUACGUGUUUCCUCCUGCCCACUGAUUCUUUGAUACCAAGAGCUUUUUAUUUGCUUAAAGCAAUUCUUCAGUUUUGGGAGUUUGUUUUAAUUUGGCUUUUGUGACUUGAAAUAUCUGGUCUCUUGUAGUAGAUAUUAAAGAGAAAAACAGCAUACAGUACUCAGGAUCAACUUUGCUAGUGAUUGCUUACCCAGAGGAUAUAUAAUGAAGUGGCUUUACUGUGAAAAGAGUUAGAGAGAUGAUUUUUUACAGAUAAGAAAAUGGUAUCCUUCACUCAACAUUACCAUUGAAGCUGUAAUUUUUUGUGUGAUACAGUGAUAAGUGUUAGUGUGAACUUUGAUAUGUAUAUAUUUGCUUGGGUAUUGGGAUUUCCUUAGCUUCUCUUCUAGUGCUAAUGAGCAGACUGCACUAAAAAUAUUUUUCCUGAAGUUGCCCUAAUUUCAUGGGACAUCUGUGUUCUGGUAGGACUAAGCCUUUUGCUAAGGGAUUACUGUCAGAUUCUGAAGAGAUGAAUGGGAAAAGUUGUCCCUUCAUCUCCAAACAGCUAAAAAUUAAAUGUCCAAGUUUCCACUCCCAGGAGUCAAGCCUUUCUGCUGAGUUGAAUGAUAGCAAACCUUAGGGAUUUGAAGAAUAGUGUAAUUGUUCGUCCAAACACCAGAAAGUAAAUUCUGAGU